rnacentral:lncRNA from 1 species
AAAAAGCAAGUAAUUAAAGAGUUGGGAGGCAUUAUUAUUACAUAUGAAGUCAGCUACGGUUCUUCCAUUGGUGAACCUCCCGGUAGGUUGGUGGAAGAAGGAAGAGCCAUAAGGAGGAAAAUCAGCUUGAGCAGUGCAGUUUUUGUUGAAAUGAUUGUUUCCUGCGUCGAAAAUGGAGUCGCCAAAGGUAAAGAUGGCAGGAAGGGAGGGAGAAGACUUGGCCAGAGCCACGGGAGAGGCUAGAAGGAGCAGAGUAACGAGUAAGUCCAUUGAAGACAUGUGUGAGGAUAAAUUCAAAGACAUUAGUUAUAUAUAUUAACACUCACAUCAUUUAGAUUAGUGUAGAGUCAGUCACACUGAAAUUAAGGUAUGUAAAAAUUUGCAACGGAAAGGCAAGAGCAUUGUUCAUGUUUAUACAGUUUCUCUUUGGUGUGAUUAAAGUUAGAGGUUGUUCCCAAUUUUCUUAGUUAUAGAUGAUUCCUGUGACUGUUCAAUUACCUUAAAAACAACAUUAGAAAAUAAACUAUAUUAUCUAACUAGUAUUUAUUAACUAAUUAGAAAAUAAAAUUUUAAGAAUUGUGUUUCUAUCAUGUUUUCAAUUUCUCUAUUAUCAAAACAUAAUAACUAAAAAAAAUCGAAAUAAUGAUUUGCAAUUUGUCGAAAAACAAAAUAAAACACACUUAUUUUCUUGCAAUUUUAAUGGACCGUAUGGGCCUGACCUCAAAAGCUUAUCGAUUUUAGGACAAAAAUAAUAAAAAAAAACAAAUGGAGAGGCAUCAGGAAAAGGAGACUCUAAAAGAAUAAAAACAUAUUCUCAAAGCAUCAGAAAAUGCCCAAAGCAACAGGGGAGCCUCUCUCCCUCCUUUAUUACCCCCUGAGCCGAAACCCUAAUUUUCAAAAUUCACCAUCCCUAGAUGAAGCGCAUCGUCAGAAUCUCAGUCACCGACGCAGAAGCCACCGAUUCUUCCAGCGACGAAGACACGGAGGAGCCCUGCCGAGAAACAACAACAACAGCCCAGGUCCGCCGCCGCCGCGGGAAACGCCUCGUCAAGGAGAUCGUAAUCGACCCUCCCGACUCCGACGACAACCGCGACGCCUGCAAGACGCGGUUCAAAAUCAGGAUCCCGGCGGAGUUUCUCAAGGCGACGGCGGAGGGGGGGAAGAAGAAGUUCCGCGGAGUGAGGCAGAGGCCGUGGGGGAAAUGGGCGGCGGAGAUCAGAUGCGGCCGAGCUCUCAAGGGACGCCGCGAUCGUCUCUGGCUUGGGACUUUCGACACGGCGGAGGAAGCUGCUCUUGCUUAUGAUAACGCGGCUGUUCAGCUUAUUGGACCUCACGCGCCGACCAAUUUCAGUUUCCCGGCGGAGAGCCAAGAGGUGAAGAUGGUGGCCGGCGCAUCCGCCGUUGCUCGAGUCGCUUAAUUGGGGAUUUGUUUUGUCAUUUAGUUGGUCGUGUUGAAUUAGCAAUGAAGGUCUGUUGUAAUGGACUUUGUAAAUGAAUCUGUCUGUGCUGAAUCUCCUCAUGUUGCUUCUGCUCUUGCAUGUUGUGGUCUCUCUGUGUAUGUGUUUGUUACAUCGACGACGAGAUUGAAACCCUGAAAUAAAGAUUAGGAAAGUUGGGGUUUUUUGAAUCGGGACUUAUUCGUUAUAAGAGGAAACUCACCUGGAGAUAGAUUGGAGAUGUUUUAAGUGAACCAAACCAACAUUCCUAAUCCAAUCAAUUUCGGGUUAGUUAUUCGUUAGAAUUCAGUUUAUAAUAACAAAACGAACUUAAUUGAACUGAAUAUUAACCGAACGAAACCAAAAUAAUGAAGGUUGGGCAUAUAUUCAGAGUUUCGGACCCAUCGAAUUCAAUCCAGAAAAUAUCCAAAAUUAUAUAAAAUGUUUAUAACAUAUUUUUUUCUUAGAUCUAAAUAUUUUCUGUGUGUGUUUUGUUGACAGAUUAAGUGUUUUAGUUAUUUGAACCUCAAUUUAUUUUUUGAUAUUUAUGUUAGUUUGGUCUAAAUAUAAGUUUAGAUGAAAACCCCAAAAACAUUUUAAUAUUAUAUGUAUUUUUGAAUAAUUAAUACAAAGAUAUAAGAUUUUGGUUACACCCAAAGGUUUCUGAAUCCAAAACUUACCGAACCCUCUGAUCCACAGAAAAAAGGAAAAUCUGAAUGGAUAUUAAAUUUCUAAACUGAAUAUUCGAAAAUAUGAAUGACUGGACCGAAUCCAAACGAUAUCUUGACCCUCAUGACUACUUUGAAUAGAGGUUUUUCACUGAUUAGAGUUCAAUUGCAAUUACUAAAAAGAAAUUAACAUAACUGAACCCGGAAAAAUAACUAAACCACUAGUUUGAAAAUAUAAUUUGUAAAUAUGUAAAGCUAUUCGAACACUACACAAUUAUUGUUUCUAUAAAUGUACUUGUGUGUAGUUAUUCAUAUUUUUGUACAUGGAAAAACUUAAAAACAAGAAAAGAAUCAAAUCGCAAAAAAAAAGGAAUCAAAUUGCCUACUAAUUUGUCGCCACCAUAAAAUACAAACAUUGUACUAAUGGCUUCACUAAACUAAUUUAUAUGUUUUUUGCAUCUUUUGAUCCUUGUAUGUGUUCAGCUAUACAUGUUUAAUUCCUAAUUUGCUAGUAGAAGCCUAUGAAAACUUUAGGCGGCCGAAGGAAACGUUUUUUCCUUUUCCUUUUUAGAGGAGUAGAAGAAUCACAAUACGGCUGACCGCUAAAUUCCAAAAGGAAAUACUUAAAAAUUAUGGAGAUUGGAAGCAAACAUCUCUGAAGAAAACAAGAAAAGAGUGAGGAAACACAUUGAGUGGGUUUAAAAAAGGCAUACAAAUUUUCGCUUGUAUCGUUGAUUAUAAAUUUGAAAAUGGGUGGUUCCCAACUUGACAUGAUAUAAAAGCAUGAAGAGUUUUUGUUUUUUAGUGAGUGCCUUGAAGAGGAAGACACAAGCAUCCGUAUUGCCAAUAUAAUCAACAUUGAAACUAAAUUUUAACCAUUUCUAAUAUAUUUUGCUAUUUUAUAGUAUAAAAUAGAAUAAUUGUAAGGUAAAAUUUAUUCUAAUUCACUUUAAAAUAGCAUUCUUAUAUAUUCUAAAUAUAAUUAAAUGUUAUUUUUCUAAAAUAAAGAAAGAGAAAAAACUAUUUCAAAAAAAUGGAUUGGAAUAAAUUUACCUCUAAAUAAUAUUACAUGUAAAUAUAGACAUGAAUUGGAAAUGUUAUAAUAAACAUUGAAACUCUUUUAACCAAUCAGAGAACUAUAAAUUUUGUUCUCUUUUAACAAAUUACAAUGUAUUUAAGUUUGGUAAUUUCAAUACAGAAACUUUUCACCAACGGUUGAUCUCAGAUGCGUUUUCUUAAUUAGGCAUCAGUAUAAUGCCCCAAUUAGAUGAAUGACAGAGAACACAUGCAUUGGUGACAAAGUGAGACGCUGCUGCAUCUUGAAGAGGUAUAGAAUCAUAACACGACACUCCGCUAACUUCCACAAAUAUAAAUAACUCCUACUACUACUACUAUACAAAGUAGGGAGACUUUUAUUAAUAUUCAUCACAAAUCUCGAAGUCUCCGGAGAAACAGCAGAGAACUCAGGAAAAAUGGACACGGCGGAGAAGGGUCUGCUCGCUCUGAGCGGCGGAGGAGAAGAAGAAGUCAGCACGAGAGAUCGGUUUCUCCGGGAGAUGAGGAGGCUCAGUUACAUAGCAGGUCCCAUGAUUGCAGUAAACUCUUCCAUGUACUUUCUCCAAGUCAUAUCGAUCAUGAUGGUUGGUCAUCUCGGUGAGCUUUACCUCUCCAGCACUGCCAUAGCCGUUUCUUUCUGCAGUGUCACCGGCUUUAGCCUCGUCGUAUGAUCUCUUUCUCUAUCCUCUCUUCUCUUGAAAAACCAGUUCUAAAAAUCGCGGCGACCCCCAAAAAAUCGACCACCUAAACAAUAAUCCUCUAUUAAACGCCUAACCUAUUUUUAGAACAUUGCGAAAAACUAUGCCAACUAAGAUUUUGGAGCUAUAUAUAAUUUAGUAAAACAUUUAAUAAAAAUAUUUAGUAAGAAUUUUAAUAAAAAGAAAAGAUCUAUGUUUAUGUAAAUUUUUUAAAAAAAAAUUGUUUACAGUUUGGAUUGGCUAGUGCGUUGGAGACUUUAUGUGGUCAAGCUAAUGGAGCUAAGCAGUUCGAGAAGCUUGGCGAACAUACUUACACAGGGAUCUUCUCUCUGUUCAUUGUUUCUAUCCCUUUGUCUGUUCUCUGGAGUUACAUGGGUGAGAUACUCUCUUUCAUCGGACAAGAUCCUCUUGUUUCUCAAGAAGCAGGAAAGUUUGCCACUAGGCUCAUACCAUCACUCUUUGCUUACGCGACAUUACAACCACUUGUUCGGUUUUUCCAAGCGCAGAGUUUGGUUUUGCCUUUGAUUAUGAGCUCAAUGUCUGCUCUGUGUUGCCAUGUUGUUCUUUGCUGGAGCUUGGUUUUCAAGUUUGGGCUUGGAAGCUUAGGUGCAGCUAUUGCGAUCAGUGUUUCUUACUGGCUUAACGCAACUGUGCUUGGAUUGUAUAUGACGUUUUCUUCUACCUGUAGCAAGACUCGUGGGAAGAUCUCCAUGAGUGUGUUUAAAGGAAUGAAAGAGUUUUUUCGAUUUGGAGUCCCAUCUGCAUCUAUGAUUUGGUAUGAACAACCUCUUUGUUUCUUAUUUGGUUUUGGUCACACUGUAAUGAUCAUAUUAUUGUGUGUUAUGGUGUUGAAUUAGCCUUGAGUGGUGGUCAUUCGAAUUUCUUGUCAUGCUCUCUGGAAUUCUACCAAAUCCAAAGCUAGAAACCUCUGUUCUCUCAGUGUGGUAUGUUCCUUAUCUUUUAAACCGGUCCUACCAUUUUAGGGACCAAAAACAAUUUAGUAAGAAUUUUGAUAAAUCUAUUUUCUUAUCAAUUUAGGAGCAUAUGUUCAUUUAUACUGAUUUAAAAAUUUUGGAGAGCAAAGACCAAUGUUUCACUUCUCUAAGCCCAUGACCGGCUUUGCUUGUAUUUUGGAAUGAAAUAUCAUCAUAUAAACUUACUUGCAUGCUUCCUUGUUUUAACAGUCUAUCAACAAUCUCCUCCUUGUACCAAAUACCGGAGAGUCUAGGCGCAGCAGCAAGGUUCUUUCUCUCUUUUUUUUUUUUAUUUAAUAAGAAAAGGAGAUAUCUAAAAACCAUCUGAUCACAGCUGUCUUUAUAUUUUAUUGGUGUUGUAUGCAGUACAAGAGUUGCAAACGAAUUGGGAGCUGGAAACCCAAAAAAAGCUCGAAUGGCGGUUUACACAGUGAUGGUUAUCACAGGAGUGGAAGCACUGAUGGUGAGUGCGAUAGUCUUUGCUGCAAGAAACGUAUUUGGUUACCUAUUCAGCUCUGAAACCGAAGUUGUGGAUUAUGUAAGAACAAUGGCUCCUCUGGUUUCUUUAUCAGUCAUAUUCGAUGCUCUUCACGCAGUUCUUUCAGGUUAGAAUCUGUUCCUAUAGUACUGUUGAAGUCAUUGAAUAAUUAAGAGACUAACUUAAUGAAUAAAAACAGGUGUGGCUAGAGGAUCAGGGAGGCAAGACAUUGGAGCAUAUGUUAACCUAGCUGCAUAUUAUCUUUUUGGAAUACCAACUGCUGUUGUAUUAGGAUUUACGUUUAAAAUGAGAGGAAGAGGACUCUGGAUUGGUAUCACGGUCGGGUCUUGUGUACAAGCUGUUUUGCUUGGUCUUAUCGUCAGCCUCACCAACUGGAAACAACAGGUUAGUAAAUUACUGAAAGUGAUACGUACGUCUUUUAAUUUGAUAUGUUGGUUUCAUACAUUUAAUGAUUGUAUGAUUAGUCCAUGUAAGAGAGUUAAGUGAAAGUGAUGUCUAUUUAAUAUUCAUGUGAAUCAUGUGGGCAUUGCAGGUGAGGAAGGCAAGAGAAAGAUUGAUGGGUGAUAAGUUUGAAGACGACGAACAUGUAGAGAUCAUCAGUUAAAAUCAAAAGAGUUAUUGGAUCAUUAUUUUGUCAUUUAAUGUUGUUUUUUUCAUAUUUCAGAAUACAGUAAAACAGUAAUGGGAAGGAUUAGAAUGUGCACACACAUGUACGUGCACAUGAGUUAUGGCAUCUACUUUCUUUCCCAUACACAUGAACAUGAAGUUAUUUUCCUAUCAAAUUAAAGGUUAAUAAUCUUUAAUCAAACAAUAUUAGUUAUUAAGAAAAUGUCCAAAACAAAGGCCUUGUCUAGUUAAUUUGAAAUGGAAUAAAAUCCUAACUAGAGACACUUUAAAGGGUUGGGCAUCACUCCCAACCGAAUCCAAUCCAAAAAAUCUGAACACAAACCUGAUCAAAUUUAUAAAAAAUACCUAAAUGGAUAUUGAGUUAGCACAAACGGUAUAUCCAAACCUGAUCAUAUAAUAUUUACUCCAUAUAUAUAAUAUCGAAAGUUAAUCCGAGCAUAUCCGAAAUUGUUAACAUAAUUCUCUCCUAAACCCAAAAUAUUAUGUCAUUUGUUAAUAUGUUUUAUAUUUUGUUUAUUUGAAUUUCAAUUUCAUUUUUAGAUAUUUGUGUUUGUUUGGAAAUAAAUAUAAGAUCGGAUGAAAACACUUAAAGAGAUGACAAUAUUUUAGGUAUUUUAAAAGAUUAUGUAUCUGUAUAUUCAGUUAUAUUCAAAUUCUUGGAUUCAAAGCUUACCAAACCGAACCCUACCUAAAAUAUGAAAAGUACUUGCAUACAUAGUUGAUUCUUAGACCAAAUUAUCAAAAAAUCUGAAAUAUCCGAACCAAAUCAAAUCCAAAAAAUAUUCGAAUGCUUAAACCUACUAAAAUUAAACCACUAUUUUUCAAGGUUCUCGGUCUUCUUAAAUUUCAGUAUUUCAGGCAUUGCCUGAAUUUUGUGUGUUCUUCAGUAAUAACUAUCUAUUCUAUUAACACUGAAGUACAAAAAACUUCUUGCCUUUUUUAAAGUGGGUUUCUAACCAUUUAAUUUAUUAUUUUCAUUUAAGUUAAGUGUUUUAUUACAGUUUUUAUAUUUUUUUUAACUCUUCUAAAUUACUUCAUUAAUUGCAUUUACUUUAAUAAUUCAAUGUCAUUUAUUAUGCGUAUUAACCAAAAUAAUUUCACGUGUCAUAAUUGCUCCAUUAGUAAAAAAAAAUUUAAACCAGUUAACAAAUUUUUUUAUUUGUUUACAUAAUCAGUUAGACAUGAGCUUUCAGGUAUACGUUUGGAUAUAGAUCGGUUUUUACGUGUAUCGAGUUUUUGAAUGUUAAAAUUAAACUAUAUUCGAAUAUUAUAAAUUAUCCAGGGUACUUAGUGGGGAUUAUGUUCACUAUAUCUUCAAGUCUUCUGUUAUACUUCUUGGCCAUAACAUUCAUCUUGCCAAAGCAUUUAUUGGUUGGGGCAUUAGGAAGCAAGGCUCUUGCAGGGACACAUCCUACUGGACCUAAAGAGAAGAUGGCGAUGCGACGAGCUCCUAGUUUGUAGAUUUGAUCAAUGGUUUUGUUAACUUGGGUUAACAUUGAGUCUACAUAGUCGUCUGGAGAGAGUGUAGUGGUUUGGAAUGGAAGAAAGUAGUUAAAGAUGUCGUUGGAACCAGACUCUAAUAAGAAGAGAGAUUCUUGGAUUACAGAUUUUUCUAUUUUGUUCUGCUCUACAAGUGUUUGGAAUUGCUGAAGUUGCGUUUGGAUCGGUGUCACUCUCUGGAUUUAUACAUGUAAACGGAUGAUUCAUAAGAAACAAAACAUUAAGAGAGAGAGAGAGAUGUUAUAGUUAUAUAGUUACCAUGUCUUUGUUGGUAUCAAGCAAGAAUCCACUACCGGCACUGGCGAAGUUAAUGCCAUUAGAAGGGAAUCGUUUUAAAGUUCUGUUCAAGAUUUGGAUCUGCAGUUCCAAGAAUGAUUUCUGUAAUGGAAGACCUAUAAAUUGCGCUGCAAGGAAUCAAGAAAAUAGAGAAAAGUAAGGUGUCUUGAGGAAAAAGCAAGUAAUUAAAGAGUUGGGAGGCAUUAUUAUUACAUAUGAAGUCAGCUACGGUUCUUCCAUUGGUGAACCUCCCGGUAGGUUGGUGGAAGAAGGAAGAGCCAUAAGGAGGAAAAUCAGCUUGAGCAGUGCAGUUUUUGUUGAAAUGAUUGUUUCCUGCGUCGAAAAUGGAGUCGCCAAAGGUAAAGAUGGCAGGAAGGGAGGGAGAAGACUUGGCCAGAGCCACGGGAGAGGCUAGAAGGAGCAGAGUAACGAGUAAGUCCAUUGAAGACAUGUGUGAGGAUAAAUUCAAAGACAUUAGUUAUA